CACAUUCUUACACAUGUUUGGCACGGCACCUUUGCCUCUCUUUCGCUCACUAUCGCCGCUACAGGGCCCCAGGGCGUCGGCUGAUCCUGAUAAUAAGGUGCCAGAGAUGAGGAGAUGCCUCCGUCUCACACCCGUGGCUAGCUCCUGUCCAAACAAGCGGUGUGACACGUUAUUGGAUUGGUCCACGUUUCAUCCGAAGUGACAAGUCAGGGUGAGCGAGGGCGCCCUGUUAGCACGCCCAGCUGGAAACCACCUGGCACCGAACACAAAUCACCUUGAUCCUGCCACCUGAUCCGCCAACUCAGAGCCUAAGGGAUCAGGUGCCACAGUAUAGGCCAGCAAAGGCAGGGUCCAGCUCCUGCACGGUGCGGCGGUGGCUCUUCUCUGCCAGCAGCAGCUGCCCCAGCAUGCGACGGGGCUUCUGGUAGGGUUCCUGGUUCGGAGGGCCCUUGGACCCGGAGAUCAGGCCAUCCCUCUGCAGGGCCUGCAGGGCCGAGCCAGGCUCCGGGGAGCCGUAGUGGGACUCCAGUCCUUCGGGACGGGCCUGCUUGGACUUCAUGAUGCGGAUGAUGUCUUCACGGGCCUAAAAGCACACGGCUCAUUGAUUAGAGCACAGAAGAUGUAGAGAUACGUUGAUAAGAUGAUGUAUAUAACACAACAGGGGGGUUAUGUUAUAUAGUGUACCUAAAGCUAUAUGAACACACAUAUACAAUAUUUAUCUAUAUAUUUAUAGAUCUUUAUGUAUUUAUUAAUAAGUAUGCAAUACUUGAAAUUAUACGUUUUGUAUACGUCAUUACCGUUUUCAACCACAAGGUAGGGCUAUAGUGCAAUUAAAUUCGAGGCAGCCCAAGGAAAAAACUAGUUUUUUCAUACACAGCAUAACAUCAUACCAACACACCAUACCAGAGGCCUUUUUAAUAUCAACGCUGCAGUUGUUAGCAGUAAGCAGUCAAUAGCAGCUUGAAGACGUACUGUGUAGAAAUGUUACUCUUUUUGGUAAGUCAUUCACCCGAAAGGUCCAAUAGCCUAGGGUCAAAUCCUAAAAAAGAAAUGUAAUAAAGAUAAUAUUGUGAAAUAAACUCCUAAUCUACCAGGUUUUCUCUGUUUUCCCAUAUAGUAAAUCAUCUAAAGUGGUAACAUAAGCCAAUAGAGCUCAUUGGA